rnacentral:tRNA from 1 species
GCCGGGAUGGCAGAGUGGUCAACUACGGUCCAUAAUAAUGCGCGGGCCUUGAGAGCCCGUGACUCUUCGGGGUCUCGUGGGUUCAAAUCCCACUCCCGGCG